rnacentral:tRNA from 1 species
CAGUGGCUCAGUUGGUUAGAGCGCCGCCCUGUCACGGCGGAGGCCGUGGGUUCGAGUCCCAUCUG